UGGGGGAUAUUGCACAAUGGGCGAAAGCCUGAUGCAGCGACGCCGCGUGGGGGAUGAAGGCCUUCGGGUUGUAAACUUCUUUUGCUCUGAACAAGGCGCACCAUGGGGUGUGUUGAGUGUAGGGGUUGAUUAGCGCCGGCUAACUACGUGCCAGCAGCCGCGGUAAUACGUAGGGCGCGAGCGUUGUCCGGAAUUAUUGGGCGUAAAGGGCUUGUAGGUGGCUGGUUGCGUCUGUCGUGAAAGCUCAUGGCUUAACUGUGGGUUUGCGGUGGGUACGGGCUGGCUUGAGUGCAGUAGGGGAGGCUGGAAUUCCUGGUGUAGCGGUGGAAUGCGCAGAUAUCAGGAAGAAUACCGGUGGCGAAGGCGGGUCUCUGGGCUGUUACUGACACUGAGGAGCGAAAGCAUGGGGAGCGAACAGG
rnacentral:rRNA from 1 species